UUGCAUGCAGGCGAAUUUUGUCAACGUCGAAAAUUAGUUGGAAAUCUUCUUCAUCAGACCCUAAAACUUUGUUGAUUCGCUGAUGCUGAUUACGUGCCUGGUUAGUGAAUGUUCUCUGUUCCUUCUUUUUUUUCUCCUGAAUUGCAGACGGAUAGCCGUUGAUUUUAUCGUGAGCUUCUGCAAUUGCUUUGUUCGCCCGAUCUAGUUCCAACAUCAGUUGAUCUCUUU
rnacentral:lncRNA from 1 species